rnacentral:rRNA from 1 species
AUGAAGAUUAACAAAUUAAGUGAGCCCAUGAGAGCUCUAUUAUGGAGCUAUGAGAAGUUAGAUCCAUGUUUGCAGAGGUGCUACCUAUAUUGUAGCUUGUUUCCAAAAGGUCACAAGUAUGUUAGGGAUGAGUUGGUUCUUCUUUGGAUGGCAGAGGGCCUUAUUUAUUCGUACAACCAAAACAAGAGUGUGGAAGAUGUCGGGAGGGACUGCUUCAAGGAGAUGAUAUCUGUCUCCUUCUUUCAACCAGUUAAUGAGAAAUAUCAUGUUAUGCAUGAUCUCCUUCAUGAUCUUGCAGAAUCACUCUCCAAAGGGAACUGCUUCAGAUUGGAAGAUGAUAAGGUGACAGAUGUACCAUCCAGUGUUCGACAUCUAUCUGUUCGUGUUGAUAGUAUAAUGCAACACAAGCAAAGUAUCUGCAAGCUACAUCAUUUACGCACUAUUAUCUGCAUAGACCCCCUAAUGGAUGAUGUAGUUGACCUUUUUAACCAGAUACUACAGAAUUUGAAGAAGUUGCGCGUACUAUAUUUGUCAUCUUACAGUAGUAGUAAGUUGCCAGAAUCUGUUGGUGAGUUGAAGCACCUUCGGUAUUUGAAUAUCAUCAGAACAUUGAUUUCUGAAUUGCCAAGAUCUCUGUGUACUCUUUACCACUUGCAGUUACUUCUGUUCAAUCACAAAGUCGAGAAUUUGCCAGAGAAACUCUGCAAUUUAAAGAAGUUACGGCAUCUUGAAUAUCGUCAGGAUCUAUAUUACAUGCCCAAGAAAGCACUGCCUCAAGUUCCUAACAUCGGCAAGCUAACUUCUCUUCAACAAUUUGAAGAAUUUUCAGUGCAAAAUAAAAUGGGUUAUGGGUUGCUACAGCUAAGUGACAUGAACCAGAUCCGUGGAAGUUUAAGUGUCACAAAUCUUGAGAAUGCCACUGGGAAGGAUCAAGCCUUGAAAUCAAAGUUGUAUCAGAAAAUUCAUCUUCGCAGCUUGCAACUUGUCUGGAGUUGCAAGGAUGACACAAACUCUGAGCAUAGCUUACAUUUGGAGAUUCUAGAAGGCAUGAUGCCACCGCCUCAACUUGGGGCCCUUAGUAUUCACGGUUACAAAUCGUCAAAAUAUCCAGGCUGGUUACUUGAUGGUUCAUAUUUUGAGAAUUUGGAAUCCUUAAGCUUUGUUGAUUGCAGCAUGGUAGAAAGCCUACCAUCCAACACUGGACUAUUUGGAAAUUGCUCUUCUCUUGCCCUCCGCAAUGUGCCAAACCUGCAGAUGCUACCUUGUAUUCCACUAGGCCUUAAAAUAUUAGUAGUAGAGAAAUGCCCACUGCUUAUAUUUAUCUCCAACAAUGGGCUGGGGUAUCUUGAUCAGAGGGAGAAUAUCAUGAGGACAGACCACUUGGCAUCACAACUUGGUUUAAUCUGGGGGGUGGGUUCAGGAUCAUAUAUGAGGAAUGCGUUCUCAUCUGAACAUUCAGUUCUGAAGCAGCUGAUGAUAUCAAUGCAUGCUGAUGUGUCACAUGUUCAGAACCUUGAAAGUGCUCUAGAAAGAGAGAAAGACGAAGUGUUGGUAAAAGAGGAUAUCAUCAAGGCAUGGAUAUACUGUCAUGAGCGGAGGAUGGGACUCAUGCAUGGAAGGAGCAUUGGGCCGCUGCUGACUCCACCAGCAGGACUUCAUGAACUCACUCUUUCUUCAUGCUAUAUUACGGAUGGAGCUUUAGCUGUUUGCCUUGAUGGCCUGGCUUCACUAGAAAAACUGUUCUUAGCAGAGAUUAUGACUUUAUCUACACUUCCUUCAGAAGAGGUCUUCCAACGUUUGGCAAAACUUGACCGCUUGGACAUCAAACAUUGCUGGUGUCUCAGGUCAUUAGGGGGCUUACGAGCUGCCACCUCUCUUUCAUGUCUCAUUUUGAAUUAUUGCCCUUCUUUAGAGUUGGCAGAUGGACCAGAAUGCUUGCCAUUAUGCCUUCAAAGAUUAAGUAUAACUGGUUGCGUGCUUGCACCUGACUUCCUCUGCGGUGACUGGCCACACAUGGAUCGUAUUUUCAUAUCCUACUGUAGAAGCACCGCAUGCUUGUCUGUUGGUAAUCUCACCUCCGUUGAAUCACUCUACAUGUAUUACUUGCCAGAUCUAUGUACACUCGAAGGAUUGUCUUCCUUGCACCUUAAAGAUGUACAUUUGAUUGACGUUCCGAAACUCACCCCCGAGUGUAUCUCACAGUUUCGAGUCAAGAAGUCACUCUAUGUUAGUAGCUCUGCUAUACUCAACAAAAUGCUUGCGGCUGAAGAUUUCACAGUUCCACCAUUUCUCUGUUUUGAAGCAUGCAAGGAACCAUUCAUUUCACUAGAAGAAUCUGCAUAUAUCACUUCUGUCAAGAUCCUGUGCUUCUUUAACUGUGAACUGAUUUCCCUGCCAACAAAUCUGAAGUGCUUCUCCAAUCUGAAGGAUCUACAUAUCUCUAACUGCCCUAACAUAUCAUCUUUACCAGAUUUGCCAUCCUGCCUCCAGCGCAUUUUCUUAACGGGUUGUGGUGAGCUCUUGAAGGAGAGUUGCCGACAACCUGAUGGAAAAAGUUGGCCAAAGAUCGCGCAUAUCCGCAUCAAGGAAAUUAGUUCAACCGUGAUUUAG